GCAUCGAUGAAAGAACGCAGCGAAAUGCGAUAAGUAAUGUGAAUUGCAGAAUUCAGUGAAUCAUCGAAUCUUUGAACGCACAUUGCGCCCAUUAGUAUUUCUAGUGGGCAUGCCUAUUCGAGCGUCAUU
rnacentral:rRNA from 1 species